ensembl:lncRNA
UCCAUUGAAGGAGGGUUAUUUUACACUGAGGAAAUUGGAACCUCUUUGGAUGUGGAGGGCAAAAAGUCAAUAGAGAGGAAAGGUUAAGAAACAGGGCAGUUGGGGCGAGAGGUGCUUCACAAGGCUGGAUAGCUGAGAAGACAGAGGAGGGGACAUAUCACAGGUGAGGUGGAAUUAGCCCCAGGCAGAAAGAGGAAAAAAGAAGAUGGGCUAAGAGAAAAAUAAAGUUUUAGGUGGUGAGAGAGAAAGUUAUUAGUAACAACAUUAAUUAAUAUUCUUGGUACCAGGCACUGUGUUAAGUGGUUUACAUAGGUUGUCUCAUUCAGUCUUUAGAGUAACCAUUUGGAGAAGGCACUAAUAUUAUCCCAAUUUUACAGACAAAGAAAUUGCAGUAUGGAGAAAGAAGACAUCUUGUCAUAUAGUACAGUCAAGAUGCAAAGUAAGAUGGCAGCACAGAUGAAAAAAUGCCAGAAAAGCGCCUGGCCAACUGACUUCAACAGCAGCAAAUCCACUGCCUACCCUCCACUCACCCUUCUUUUUUUUAAGGGGGGGAAAAAAAAAGCAGAACCUAAGCAAUGGGGUCUACCGGCAAGAUGUUCGUAACAAAAUCUGCUGACGAGGAGAACAUAAGGAAGGUGCCCCUUCAACAUAUGGCAUUUCAAGGGCUCAAGGGUAUGCUAAAGAAUACUAAAUUGUGUGUAAUGAACUGAACAGAAGCUAAAAUGUGACCUGUGCCUUUUAAACAAAAACAAAAACCUCACCAUGGAGAGUGAACAUAACUAUAACACAUAAAUAAACCAACCUGAGGCCAAGUGGAUUGCCAUUCACAUUGAAGAAAAAAUCAAUUUGCAGUGUAUCAGAGUCCUUUUUAAAUUCUCUCUCUCUCUUUUUUAACAAAAACAAACAUUCCAGGAAAUUACUCUAUACACUGUUAUCUUUCCUUGAAGGAGUCCCUUUGACUAUUCCUUGGGUUGUGAUCAGUUAAUGCUAUGAUGAGUCAAGAAAUCUGCCUUUCCCAAAACAACUCCUGGUGCUCUAAGGUUACUGAAUGCUUUCCCCUGGGUUCUAAGUUUAGAGACAAAGCUAAGUCCUAAAAUGACUAGACUGAGAGGCAUUGAGAUAAUGCAGAAUAUGAGGGAGUGAAGCUGGGAUACUGAGUAUCACCCGGUCACCGGCCUGCGUGCAUCUCAAGGGCCACACCAUCCCACACUAUCCAGAGCGGCAGGCCAGCAGCCUCUGCUCUGGGACUUUCCCUGAAGCCAAGACCCAGAUUACUAUGAGACCCAGGACUCGGAGUUGUCACACACCCAGGACAAAGCAGAAUCCUGAGAGCCCUGACCCAUUAAUUCUGUUGCAUCUGUGCAGCUGCCAAACCCGCCGUCCCUGAGACCCUUGAUGUCCUUGAUGUGUGCCCAAGAGGGAAGGCCUUUCAGGGGGUGAUAACCUCUAUGAACUCUCAUUCUCAUACUUGAUUCAGCUUCCUCCUAAAUUUUUCCUCUGUGACCUCAGGAAUCCCAUUCCAUCAUCAGCAAAGACCCCGAUACUCCCAAUAUCUUCACUGGACAUUCUUUAGCUUUCGAGCCCUAACGUGGCUUUCCCUGCAAGCACAAUGCUUCCCUGCAGCCCUCACAAGUAGAGGCUACUGAGCCAGGUUCCUUCUGUCAAACACUGUCAUUUCCAUGGGUCUCAGUUCUCUGCCCUCUGAGAAUCAGACUGCAUACCUAGCCAUCAGGUCACACUCUCUACCUCAGCUGUCAUACACUGACUGCCUAGCCAUGUCCUUUAUUGAUCAGAGACAUUAGCAAUGAAUCCCAGUAUCCCUUUUCAUUCCAAAUUCCGCCAGCAGUCUGGCACAUGUACUAUGUGUGUGAGGCAUACUCAGUCUCUCUCAGUUCCUUGAUUCCAUCUCUGAUUGCUCUCUCUAUUCUGUUUCAAUCACCCAAUCCCAUUGCCACCCCAGGCUCGCUCAUCAAGAAACCACAGCUCCUCUGAACUCAUGACUCUCUAUUCCUCUACUUCUUCUCCUGUGGUUAUUUUUACUCUAUUGAUUUUCCAAGCUUAUUAGGAAUUCUGUUUUAUUCUUUCUCCUUAUCUGUCCUCCAUUUGCUGGCUCCUUUUCCUUCUCUAUCCAG